CACGGGGGUUGCAAGCGUUGUCCGGAAUUACUGGGCGUAAAGGGCGUGUAGGCGGCCUUUAAAGUCAGCUGUGAAAUCCCUUGGCUUAACUGAGGGCUUGCAGUUGAAACUUAAAGGCUUGAGUGCAGGAGAGGAAGGUGGAAUUCCCAGUGUAGCGGUGAAAUGCGUAGAUAUAGGAAGGAACACCGGUUGCGAAGGCGGCUUACUGGCUGGUAACUGACGCUGAGGCACGAAAGCGUGGGGAUCGAACAGG
rnacentral:rRNA from 1 species